UCUCCGAAAAGGCAAACCCUGUGUAAGCAGGGGACGCAAAGCCAACGGAUCCUGAACAAUUAGGAUGGCCGGGUUGCCAAA
rfam:Candidatus Schekmanbacteria bacterium GWA2_38_11 gwa2_scaffold_7142, whole genome shotgun sequence.